rnacentral:rRNA from 1 species
UACGGGGGGGGCAAGCGUUGUUCGGAAUUACUGGGCGUAAAGGGCUCGUAGGUGGCCAACUAAGUCAGACGUGAAAUCCCUCGGCUUAACCGGGGAACUGCGUCUGAUACUGGAUGGCUUGAGUUCGGGAGAGGGAUGCGGAAUUCCAGGUGUAGCGGUGAAAUGCGUAGAUAUCUGGAGGAACACCGGUGGCGAAGGCGGCAUCCUGGACCGGUAUUGACGCUGAGGCGCGAAAGCUAGGGGAGCGAACAGG